CAGGCUUGGAAAACAGGACUACCUACACCCAAGACCACUAAACAAAGACUACAAUUGAAUGCGAUCAACCAGACUGAGCUACUUAAAAUCUGCUGUCCCAGAAGCCCUGUCUUCAUGAUCUAGCAAUUUUCUCCAGCUCUAAGACCAAUAUGCUGUUCUUCUUGGUUGGUCCAUGUACCCUCCAGAUGCUUAGGGGUGCCCACCAUGCGGCCAAUGAAGCUCAGAAUGUCUGUGAAUGCAGCUCAGCACAAAAUCAUAAAUUUAUUUAAGACAUUAUGGGAUUUUUUGUGUGUGUGAUUUACAUGUCACAAUGUAUUUAAUGUGUGGCCCAAGACAACUCUUUUCCCAAUGUGGAAGAGAGAUGU